GGUGACUCGGAUCAGUAG
rnacentral:rRNA from 1 species